GAUGAACGCUAGCGGCAGGCCUAACACAUGCAAGUCGAGGGCAGCACGGUGUAGCAAUACACUGGUGGCGACCGGCGCACGGGUGCGUAACGCGUAUGCAACCUACCCAUAACAGGGGGAUAACACUGAGAAAUUGGUACUAAUACCCCAUAACAUCAGGACCGGCAUCGGUUCUGGUUGAAAACUCCGGUGGUUAUGGAUGGGCAUGCGUUGUAUUAGCUGGUUGGUGAGGUAACGGCUCACCAAGGCAACGAUACAUAGGGGGACUGAGAGGUUAACCCCCCACAUUGGUACUGAGACACGGACCAAACUCCUACGGGAGGCAGCAGUGAGGAAUAUUGGUCAAUGGACGAGAGUCUGAACCAGCCAAGUAGCGUGAAGGAUGAAGGUCCUACGGAUUGUAAACUUCUUUUAUAAGGGAAUAAACCCUCCCACGUGUGGGAGCUUGUAUGUACCUUAUGAAUAAGCAUCGGCUAACUCCGUG
rnacentral:rRNA from 1 species